UACGGAGGGUGCAAGCGUUAUCCGGAUUCACUGGGUUUAAAGGGUGCGUAGGCGGGCAGGUAAGUCAGUGGUGAAAUCCUAGAGCUUAACUCUAGAACUGCCAUUGAUACUAUCUGUCUUGAAUAUUGUGGAGGUAAGCGGAAUAUGUCAUGUAGCGGUGAAAUGCUUAGAUAUGACAUAGAACACCCAUUGCGAAGGCAGCUUACUACACGAUCAUUGACGCUGAGGCACGAAAGCGUGGGGAGCAAACAGG
rnacentral:rRNA from 1 species